UGUUUGUCGCCAGCUCUCACCAACGAAAGC
rnacentral:piRNA from 1 species